rnacentral:lncRNA from 1 species
CCCAUAGUUCCUGGAACGACUACAGCGGCGGGUUGCUAGGUGACCUGGGGUCCUGGGAUCAUUGUCCCUGGUCGAGCUCAUCCAGGGAACUCGCAGCUCUGCCUGGGCACACAGUGAACACCCAAACUGUUAGCUGAUGUUGCCAGCGGGAAAGGUGUCCCUGGGUGAGAGCCUGCAGCCUUUCUGGAGGUGAUGAGGAAGCUGCCCCACGGAGGCCAGGAGGAGGCCAAGAUGUAUCCAGAGGAUUUGAGUACCUGCACACAACCAAGUCUGAGGAAAGCCCAAGCCCUCUAAGUUCCAGAACACUGUUUUGGGUGGGUUUUGCCUUCUGUUCCCCUGUUGAACUUAGCUGUGGAGCUAGACUGACAUGGAUAUUACAAAAGUUCUCCUCUUUGACCUUGAACUGGAACUGCCGGAAGGCCUCAAUGAAAGGCAUGCUUUCGAUAUCUCCUACUCUCCCACCAAGCUCAAUAACACACACUUGAGGUUCUAGGCCAUCUUCAUCAUUUUUUAACUUUUUUUUUUUGGUACCAGGGAUCGAACUUGGGUCCUUGAACUUGCGCAGCGGGUGGCGAAACCACUGAGCUAAAUCCCCGGCCCCAUUUUUUUACUUUUUGAGACAGGGUCUCCUCAAGUUAUUAAGUUGCCCAAGCUGGGCUCAAACUUGCAACCAUCCUGCCUCAGCCUCCCAGAGUGCUGGGAUUAUAGAUGUGCCCCACUAUGCCUGGCUCUAUUUCAUUGUUAAAAUGUGGUUGUCUGUCUUUCUGUCCCAUUCCGCUCCCCAGAUGAGGUGCUGUGAAUAUAAGGGUGUUUGCCACUGUCUCCCCAGGGCUGGUCAUACAGUAGAUGGUCCAUAAAUGGAUGAGAGCCUCUGACAGAGGCACUGGGAGGGCAUAUGGGUAAUAGGAGCCUGGUUGCCAUGGCAAUGACAGUAAUGCCCCCAAGGUCCUUGCAAGGGAGGGUUUCCCCUUCCUCAACUCAUCCCAACCACUCCCAACCUUGGGUCUGACUGCUUCCCUCGCAAGUCCCCAGACCCCCAAUUGAAGGCAUCUUUGUCCACACUGCACACUUUGCUAACCUUGAGGACACAGGAGAGUCACCUUCAUGUGACUGGAACUGGAAACAUCUCCCCAUCCUCACCCUCCUCUAUAGCGAGCUCACUGAGGGCCUUCGACCAAUAUAUGGAUCUGCAGUCCUCAGUUACUGGAACAGGAUUUGUCACACAGUAAGUGCUCAAUAAAUACUGGAUGGAUGAAUGACUGAAGAAACAAAGCCCUCCGCUCCUGCCAGAGUUCUGCUCAGGGACCCUUGCCUGGCCCUCCUCUGGGGAACUUCCCUGGGGGCCACCCUAGUGCAUUGGGGCUCUCAUUCAUUCCUUCAACAAGACCUUGAGCACCUCAUCUGACUUCCACACUGGCUAUUGCUAGCAAUAAGUGGUGGGGACAAGGGUUUGAACCCUGAGUACUCUCAGAUGGCCUUCAGGCAUUUCAUGCCAUGGGAGCUCAGGGGCCACACUGCAAGCUGGUGAGAGGAAGCAGAGGAGUUGUCACCCUUCAUUACGAUGAUAGUUUCAUGGCUGGGUGAUUACAUCAAAGCUUAUCAGGCCAUACAAGUUAAGAAUGG